UACGGAGGGUGCAAGCGUUAUCCGGAUUCACUGGGUUUAAAGGGUGCGUAGGUGGGCAGGUAAGUCAGUGGUGAAAUCCCCGAGCUUAACUUGGGAACUGCCGUUGAUACUAUCUGUCUUGAAUACUGUGGAGGUAAGCGGAAUAUGUCAUGUAGCGGUGAAAUGCUUAGAGAUGACAUAGAACACCAAUUGCGAAGGCAGCUUGCCACACAGUAAUUGACACUGAGGCACGAAAGCGUGGGGAGCAAACAGG
rnacentral:rRNA from 1 species